AAUUCUCAACUCCUCUCAAUUGACUUCAAGUGGAGCUUGGAUGAUGGGGGCUGCCGGAGACCUGAAUAUGAAUAUAAAUAUUCGGGACUUAGGCUCCUCUCAAAUGUAUUGGCUUGCGGUCUGUUUUUGACUUUGCAUGACAAGGCUUUUGAUGUGAUAAUGAUCACCACUCGCUGAAGUGCAUGAAUGAAACUGUGCUGUGCCUCUAUGGGGGGUGUCUUCUUUAUGC
rnacentral:misc_RNA from 1 species